rnacentral:lncRNA from 1 species
UGUCAGGCCUCUCAGCCGAAGCUCAACCAUUGUAACCCCUGUGACUUGCACAUAUGCGUCCAGAUGGCCUGCGGGAGCCAAGAAGUCUGGGGCAGCCAAAAACCCACAAAAGAAGUAAAACAGCCACUUCCUGCCUUAACUGAUUAACAAACAUUCCACCAUUGUGACUGGUCCCUGCCCUACCUUAACUGAUCAACCAUCCUUGUGACAUUCUUCUUCUGGACAAUAAGUCUUAUGAUCUCCCCAUCAUGUACCUUGUGACCCCCUCCCCUGCUAACAAUAGAUAACAACCACCUUUUACUGUAAUUUUCCAUUACCUACCUAAAUCCUAUAAAGCAACCCCUUCCCCAUCUCCCUUCAUUGAUUCUCUUUUCGGACUCAGCCCACUUGCACCCAAGUGAAUAAACAGCCUUGUUGCUCACACAAAGCCUGUUGGUGGUCUCUUCACACGGAUGCAUUUGACAUUUGGUGCUAUGACUUGGAUCGGGGGACCUUCCUUGGGAGAUCAAUCCCCUGUCCUCCCGCUCUUUGCUCCGUGAGGAAGAUCUACCUACGACCUCGGGUCCUCAGACCAGCCCAAGGAACAUCUCACCAAUUUUAAAUCGGUGACCCACUGGAAAUCAGACCGCCCAGCUCACCCGGCAGCCACUUCCAGAGCCCAGCCCCUAAAGCUCUGGCCCAAGGGUCUCUGACUGACUCCUUACCAGACCUGCUCAGCUUAGUGGCUGAAGACUGACGCUGCCCAAUCACCUUGGAAGCCCCCUGGACCAUCAUGGAUGCCAAGCUUCGGGUAACUUUCACAGUGGAGGAUGGCCUGCAGGAGCCAAGAAGUCUGGGGCAGCUGAAAAACCACAAAAGAAGUAAAACAGCCAGUUCCUGCCUUAACAGAUUAACCAACAUUCCACCAUUCCACCAUUGUGACUGGUCCCUGCCCUACCUUAAUGGAUCGAUUGACCUUGUGACAUUCUUCUUCUGGACAAUGAGUCUUAUGAUCUCCCUACCAUGUACCUUGUGACCCCCCUCCUCUGCUAACAAUAGAUAACCACCUUUUAGUGUAAUUUUCCAUUACCUACCCAACUCCUAUAGGGCAACCCCUUCCCCAUCUCCCUUCGCUGACUCUCUUUUCAGACUCAGCCCACUUGCACCCAAGUGAAUAAACAGCCUUGUUGCUCACACAAAGCCUGUUGGUGGCGUCUUCACACAGACAUGCGUGACAUCUGCUCACCCACCUCUAAUACUGCAGAUUGAACAGUUCCCUUUGGAAAGCCCUUCCUGAUGUUGAGCUAAAAUGUCUUCCUGUCAUGUCCAUUCAUUAGUAGAAUAAACAUUUUAUCCAAAUGAGGCUGAUUAAACCAGAGGUUUAUGCAAAGGUGUAUGCAUCAAAGAUAGUGAUUUCCUGAGUGGAAGAAUUAAAUACCAGCUAAGAGUGAUUACAUAAAGCAUGGACCUUUUAUCUCUAUAGAAAAAACGCUACCUGACAAUAUUUCAAGUUAGAAUUUUGCUUUUCUUUUUCUCAAGUCAGGGUCUCAUUCUGUCACACAGACUGGAGUGCAGUGGUGCGAUCAUGCUGGCUAAUUUUUAAAUUUUUUGUAGACAGGGUCUGCUAUGUUGCCCAGGUUGGUCUAGAGCUCCUGGGCUCAAGGGAUCCUCCUACCUUGGCCUCCCAAAGUGCUGGGAUUACAGGCAUGAGGCACCUCGCCCAGCCCAAAUUAGGAUUUUUCUGGAGUGUAUAUUAGCACUUUCCUGAAAGGCAGCAAAUGUUUCAAAAGUUCACACCCUUUAACUCAAUAAUUACACAUCUAGGAAUCUUAUUCUCUGAAAAUAGUAUAGCAUGGAAAACGUUUUUUGCACAAAUUUUUGUUUUUUUAACCACAGUGUUUCUUUUAAAAUGUUAUUAAAAGAAUAAAAACAACCAAAAAUGUUCCUCAGAAGCAAUAUGUAAAUUCUGAAUACCAGAUAAACUACUAGGCAAGCAUCUAAAAUAAAGUUUACAGAUUUUCUUAAAACAUGAUGAAAUACUUGUGUAUUCAAUGGAUAUUCCAAGGCUCAGCUUCUAUAAAAAAAAUCUAACUCUGAGUAAGGGGAUCCAUAACAG